CCAGUCACCGUGUUUGCUUCCUCAGGGCUAUAUAUACUGGUGGCAUUUGCAGUUAGGGUUGUGAUACAAAAAAGCAAACAACUAUAUUUCAGUCAUACACUUUCCUGUUUCCUUUUCGAAUCUUCAGAAGCAAAUGAUUUCUUUUUUCCUUGGCCAGUACAGAUCCUCCUGGGAUGACUUCUGAUUAAAACUCCAGCGAGUAGUUGGGAAAGCUUCAGCUAAAGAAGUGGCAUUGGGAAGGACCCACAUCUUCCUGACCUGGUGGAGCUCAGCGAAAGUAUUUAUGAGCAGACAGCCUGGCCCGCCCAGAUUGCACACACUGAGACUCUGUGAGAAGCUAAGCCACGGCGUCUUCCCUACCGCUCCCCAGGACAGGAAUGCUACGGGUAAGGAGCGUUUGGUAGUUCAUGGAGCUUCCGUUCACCAACCUGGAAAUGGCGUUCAUCCUGCUGGCCUUUGUCAUCUUCUCCUUGUUUACCCUGGCUUCCAUCUACACCAGCCCGGAUGAGAGGGACGAAGAAGAACACCAAAUAAAG